rnacentral:misc_RNA from 1 species
GAUGAAGAACGCAGCGAAAUGCGAUACUUGGUGUGAAUUGCAGAAUCCCGUGAACCAUCGAGUCUUUGAACGCAAGUUGCGCCCGAAGCCAUUAGGCCGAGGGCACGCCUGCCUGGGCGUCACACGUCGUUGCCCCCCCAUCUACUCCUUCGGGAUUGCGGGGGGCGGAUGAUGGCCUCCCGUGCGCCUCGUCGCGCGGUUGGCAUAAAUGCCAAGUCCUCGGCGACGCACGCCACGACAAUCGGUGGUUGCGAAACCUCGGUUGCCCGUCGUGUGCGGUCGUCGCGCAUCGAGGGCUCGAAAAAAUUGUCGGGCUCCGGCUCGGCUUUCAACGCGACCCCAGGUCAGGUAGGGAUACCCGCUGAACUUAAGCAUAUCAAUAAGCGGAGGA